rnacentral:misc_RNA from 1 species
UUAUAAUUGAAUUUGAAUUACCUGUAGUCAAUAAAUAAUACACGUGCAGAAUCAUAUAUAUCUCUCUCUAAUAGUUUAGAGAGAGAAUUUUCUCUCGAAUGGGCUUAUCUUUAGGACCUCGGUCUCGUUGUCUGCCGCGAUCUUCGUCGGCUGUUCUCUGCCCUUACGGGCGGGGAACAACUCUUCUUUCCCCUGCCCGGAUGUGGGUCGCCCUCAGUUUCUAUGGAUGGAUUGUAUAUACUCUUUUGUGUUUUCUAUUUGUUGCAUGCACAUAUAAUUGAUAAGUAGAGGGUCUUUUGAGAAAUCUGCGAUGUUUAUGGAUAUCUUGUGCAGCGGUGGUGGGUCUGUCCUCUAGGUAGUGAUUUCAUUCGCUAAGUUUAGGCUCUGUGUUAGGAGGUUCAUUUUAGUGGGUAUGGCAUCUCUGGGGACUCUCUGUCUUGCUACUGGUUAGUAUCUUGUCCUUGAUAGCUGAUGCUAAAGAGCUCUACCAUACCGCUCCUAACAUGACUGAGAUUGGUCCCUGUUGAGGCAAAAGAGAUGGCCUAUGCCCUCGUUGAUGUUGGAGAUCUAAUCUGUAGCCUCGCCUGAGCAUCAGUGUGCCUUUUAUCUAUUGGUGCGAUGAUUUCUCUAGUUUAGAUUCUAUGGAUCCCAUCAUUAAAUUGUCUGCUACACUUGCGAAGAAGGUGAUGUCUAUCUGCUAUGCUUGUGAAGAUAGUGACAGUUAGGGCUCCAAAGCUUUGCGAUGAAGAUGAGACCCGGCUUGUUUCUCAUGGGUCGAUUAUUUUGAAUUUGGGAGCUCCAUUUUUAAGCGAUGGGUAAAGUUUCUUUUGCUUCUUGGGUCUCUCUGUAAUGAGCCUGGCUGGGCUUUAAUCAGCUUUACAUGUAUUGGUUUUUAU